rnacentral:rRNA from 1 species
CCUACGGGUGGCAUCAGUGGGGAAUCUUCCGCAAUGGACGAAAGUCUGACGGAGCAACGCCGCGUGAGUGAUGAAGGAUUUCGGUCUGUAAAGCUCUGUUGUUUAUGACGAACGUGCAGUGUGUGAACAAUGCAUUGCAAUGACGGUAGUAAACGAGGAAGCCACGGCUAACUACGUGCCAGCAGCCGCGGUAAUACGUAGGUGGCGAGCGUUGUCCGGAAUUAUUGGGCGUAAAGAGCAUGUAGGCGGCUUAAUAAGUCGAGCGUGAAAAUGCGGGGCUCAACCCCGUAUGGCGCUGGAAACUGUUAGGCUUGAGUGCAGGAGAGGAAAGGGGAAUUCCCAGUGUAGCGGUGAAAUGCGUAGAUAUUGGGAGGAACACCAGUGGCGAAGGCGCCUUUCUGGACUGUGUCUGACGCUGAGAUGCGAAAGCCAGGGUAGCG